UACGAAGGGGGCUAGCGUUGCUCGGAAUCACUGGGCGUAAAGGGUGCGUAGGCGGGUUUUUAAGUCAGAGGUGAAAUCCUGGAGCUCAACUCCAGAACUGCCUUUGAUACUGAAGAUCUUGAGUUCGGGAGAGGUGAGUGGAACUGCGAGUGUAGAGGUGAAAUUCGUAGAUAUUCGCAAGAACACCGAUGGCGAAGGCAGAUCACUGGGCCGAAACUGACGCUGAGGCACGAAAGCAUGGGGAGCGAACAGG
rnacentral:rRNA from 1 species